rnacentral:tRNA from 1 species
GUUCUUGUAGUUGAAUAACAACGGUGGUUUUUCAUAUCAUUAGUCCUGGUUAAAACCCGGGCAGGAAUU